rnacentral:rRNA from 1 species
AGAGUUUGAUCCUGGCUCAGAACGAACGCUGGCGGCAGGCUUAACACAUGCAAGUCGAGCGAGGUCUUCGGGCCUAGCGGCGGACGGGUUAGUAACGCGUGGGAACGUGCCCUUUCACUACGGAAUAGUCCCGGGAAACUGGGUUUAAUACCGUAUACGCCCUUUCGGGGGAAAGAAUUUCGGUGAAGGAUCGGCCCGCGUCUGAUUAGGUAGUUGGUGGGGUAAUGGCCUACCAAGCCUACGAUCAGUAGCUGGUUUUAGAGGAUGAUCAGCAACACUGGGACUGAGACACGGCCCAGACUCCUACGGGAGGCAGCAGUGGGGAAUCUUAGACAAUGGGCGCAAGCCUGAUCUAGCCAUGCCGCGUGAGUGAUGAAGGCCUUAGGGUCGUAAAGCUCUUUCGCUGGGGAAGAUAAUGACGGUACCCAGUAAAGAAACCCCGGCUAACUCCGUGCCAGCAGCCGCGGUAAUACGGAGGGGGUUAGCGUUGUUCGGAAUUACUGGGCGUAAAGCGCGCGUAGGCGGACUGUUAAGUCGGGGGUGAAAUCCCGGGGCUCAACCCCGGAACGGCCUUCGAUACUGGCAGUCUGGAGUUCGAGAGAGGUGAGUGGAAUUCCGAGUGUAGAGGUGAAAUUCGUAGAUAUUCGGAGGAACACCAGUGGCGAAGGCGGCUCACUGGCUCGAUACUGACGCUGAGGUGCGAAAGUGUGGGGAGCAAACAGGAUUAGAUACCCUGGUAGUCCACACCGUAAACGAUGAAUGCCAGUCGUCGGGUAGUAUACUGCUCGGUGACACACCUAACGGAUUAAGCAUUCCGCCUGGGGAGUACGGUCGCAAGAUUAAAACUCAAAGGAAUUGACGG